GACAUGACUCUCGGCAAUGGAUAUCUCGGCUCUCGCAUCGAUGAAGAGCGCAGCGAAAUGCGAUAUGUGGUGCGAAUUGCAGAAUCCCGCGAACCAUCGAGUCUUUGAACGCAAGUUGCGCCCGAGGCCAAACGGACAAGGGCACGUCUGCCUGGGCGUCAAGC
rnacentral:rRNA from 1 species